AUAAAAAUGAAGACCCCCAAAACAAUAAUUUAUUUAGAAGUAUUCCAAUAUAAAGUCAAUGGGGUCAUAAAUAAUCCCACUUGGUCAUAUUAGUCGCAAAAAUAGCUUGGUCACUUGGGGGUUAACACACUGUAGCCAGGCU